rnacentral:rRNA from 1 species
AAGCUCGUAGUUGAAUUUCGGGGUUAGUAGGUUGGUCAUGCCUCUGGUAUGUACUGGUCUCACUGAUUCCUCCUUCCUUAUGAACCGUAAUGCCAUUAAUUUGGUGUUGCGGGGAAUUUGGACUGUUACUUUGAAAAAACUUGAGUGUUUAAAGCAAGCUAACGCUUGAAUACAUUAGCAUGGAAUAAUGAAAUAGGACGUUCGAUCUUAUUUUGUUGGUUUCUAGGAUUGACGUAAUGAUUAAUAGGGAUAGUUGGG